rnacentral:rRNA from 1 species
AACGAACGCUGGCGGCAGGCUUAACACAUGCAAGUCGAACGCCCCGCAAGGGGAGUGGCAGACGGGUGAGUAACGCGUGGGAACGUACCCUUUACUACGGAAUAGCUCCGGGAAACUGGAAUUAAUACCGUAUGUGCCCUUCGGGGGAAAGAUUUAUCGGUAAAGGAUCGGCCCGCGUUGGAUUAGCUAGUUGGUGGGGUAAAGGCCUACCAAGGCGACGAUCCAUAGCUGGUCUGAGAGGAUGAUCAGCCACAUUGGGGCUGAGACACGGCCCAAACUCCUACGGGAGGCAGCAGUGGGGAAUAUUGGACAAUGGGCGCAAGCCUGAUCCAGCCAUGCCGCGUGAGUGAUGAAGGUCUUAGGAUUGUAAAGCUCUUUCACCGGGGAAGAUAAUGACGGUACCCGGAGAAGAAGCCCCGGCUAACUUCGUGCCAGCCGCCGCUGUAA